UUAAAAAUCAAACUGUUUCAGUUAUUUUUAUUAUGUACAUGUACAAAAUGUAUCAGGUUUUAUCCUUGGAUGUGCAUGGUGAUAUUGCACUUUUAUGUUUUGUAUAAAUAACAAAACUUAUGUUUUAAUUCUGUUGUUUUAAAAUUGUAUAUAACAGUCUCUCAUAGUUCUUUUAAGAAUGGCACAUGCAUUCUAAAUUUUAUAUUGUGUACUUGAUAUUAU
rnacentral:lncRNA from 1 species